ensembl:lncRNA SERPINB9P1 serpin family B member 9 pseudogene 1
GGGGGCGGCGUCCUUCACAGGGAGGGUGCAGCUGACCUCCCUCCCCUUGUGCAGACUGGAAAAGAAUGGCCCAGAUCCUCUGGACUCCUCAGAUGAGCGGAUUCAGAGAGAAGCUUUUGAGAGCGUGCUGGCGGAGACAUUUUUCACAAAAGAGCCCUUGCGGUGCUGGUGUCCGUGGCGUGCCUGGAUGGCCUCUGGAAGCUGUCAGUUGCAUUGCUGUCCCCCUGGCAAGCAUAGCCUCCUGCCUCCCUGUCACCCAACCUUGUCUAGUGGUCCCUCUGCCCUGCCUACCCUCCACCAUGAGCGCCCUCUCUGAAGCAAAUGGCUCCAGCCAUCAUCUUUUAAAGGAGCCAUACGAAGAAAACCCUUCAUGCAAUGUGCUUUUGUCUGUCCCAAGUGUCUCCUCUGCUCUGGCCAUGCUCUUCCUGGGAGUGGAAGGAAAUGUGGCUGCCCAAAUGGCCCAAGCAAGGAGACCUCCACUGCAUAAGGAGGAGGAAUUGUUUGUAGCCAUUAGAGUUGUUUGCCAGAAAUUUCUGGAUUUCCUCCCUUCCAGCACAUGGUAAGUGAUCUGGGUCCAUGUGAUCUGGGUCCACAUUGGUCUGGGUCCAUGUCCCCACCCAAAUCUCAUCUUGAAUUGUAAUCCAAACUUUAAUUCCCACGUGUUAGGGGAGGGACCUCCUGGGAGGUGAUUGAAUCAUAGUGUGGUUCCCCAUGCGGUUCUCAUGAUUGUAAGUUCUCAUGAGAUGUGAUGGUUUUGUGAGGGGCUUUUCCCCUUUUUGCUCUGCACUUCUCUCAUUCUCUUCCUGCUGCCAUGUGAAGAAGAAUGUGUUUGCUUCCCCUUCGGUCAUUAUUGUAAGUUUCCUGAGGCUUCCCCAGUCAUAUGAAACUGUGAGUCAAUUAAAUCUCUUUUCUUUAUAAA